CACGUAGGGCGCAAGCGUUGUCCGGAAUUAUUGGGCGUAAAGAGCUCGUAGGCGGUCUGUUGCGUCCGCUGUGAAAACUCGGGGCUUAACCCCGAGCCUGCAGUGGAUACGGGCAGACUAGAGGUAGGUAGGGGAGAAUGGAAUUCCCGGUGUAGCGGUGAAAUGCGCAGAUAUCGGGAGGAACACCGGUGGCGAAGGCGGUCUCUGGGCCUACCUGACGCUGAGGAGCGAAAGCGUGGGGAGCGAACAGG
rnacentral:rRNA from 1 species